UGCUGGCUCAGAUAGCAAAGAAUCUGCCUGCAAUGCAGGAGACCCAGGUUCAAUCCCUGGGUCAGCAA
rnacentral:tRNA from 1 species